AUGACUAGGGAUAACCUUAGGAAGAGACACAUCAUCAAACCCCUUGAUUGUGUUUACUGCUUGGAACAAGAGUCUUGUUCUCACCUAUUUUUUGAAUGUAUAGUUGCUAAACAUCUCUGGGCCCACAUUGAGGAAUAUUUCUCUAGUCAGAAUGGCUCAUCCUUCGAAUCUGUCGCCAGAUUCUGGAUUGCUACCAAAAAAUGCUCAGUUUUAAAUACUGUUAGCUCAGCUGUCCUUUGGUGCCUCUGGAAAUAUAGAAAUGCUAUGAUUUUCAGUAACACCUCCUGGAUUUCCAUUCCGCAGGUCUUGAGGUUGAUCAGGAACAUGGUGAGGAACUGGGCGAUUCUCUCCUCCGGAUCGGACAAGGACAAGUUGAUGAGCUUCGUGGAAACCCUAACAAGAUCCCUCCAAAAACUGUUGGCGAUCACUUGUGGCUGA
rnacentral:rRNA from 1 species